rnacentral:rRNA from 1 species
AACGAACGCUGGCGGCAGGCUUAACACAUGCAAGUCGAACGCCCCGCAAGGGGAGUGGCGCACGGGUGAGUAACGCGUGGAUAUCUGCCUUUUGGUUCGGAAUAACCCCGGGAAACUGGGGCUAAUACCGGAUGGUUCCUACGGGAUAAUGAUUUAUCGCCAAAAGAUGAUUCCGCGUACGAUUAGCUAUUUGUUGAGGUAAUGGCUCACCAAGGCGACGAUCGUUAGCUGGUCUGAGAGGACGAUCAGCCACACUGGGACUGAGACACGGCCCAGACUCCUACGGGAGGCAGCAGUGGGGAAUAUUGGACAAGGGGGGCAACCCUGAUCCAGCCAUGCCGCGUGAGUGAUGAAGGCCUUCGGGUUGUAAAGCUCUUUUGGCGGGGACGAUGAUGACGGUACCCGCAGAAUAAGCCCCGGCUAACUUCGUG